CUUUGUAACGAAUUUUGACUGAAUAUCACAUCUAUAUUUGAAUACAAACUGUUCUUUUAUAGAAAUUUACAAAACCAGAGUUUUCUUAGAGUCACGCCAUGUUCAAUUACCCACGCAUGCGCGAACUAAUGUCCUAUAAAUUAACAUAAAUUAAGUCGGAAGUUCGUACAGAGCUCGAAUACUGCCAUGUUGUUUUCGUGGAUAUCGUCUCUGUUUAUAGUCAUCACAACAUUUUUAUUUUGUUUCGAAACCACUGAAAUGGGGUAUAAAAUACUGUGCAAGAACAAUGGUACAGUGCCCGCGGAUCGCGCUGCCAACUGUGAACAAAAUUUAGAAUGGUUUAUUGUAGAUUGCCUAAUAACUGCUUGGUUUCUACUGGAGUAUGUGGCGGGGCUGUUGACCACACAACACAGGCUCAAGUUUGUGUUUUCUUUCUUGGGGAUCAUUGACUUCCUUUCGAUCGUUCCAUUCUUUGGGAUUUUACUUCUAAAACUAGACGACGGUG